CAUAGGUUGAGGAGGCAGUGACCGUAGCGGUGGAGGAGGAGGAUAAGUUAGCCAACACUGUUUAUAUAUAUACAUAUAUAUAUUAAUUGGGGUAGCCCACAAAAUAUUGGGACAUAUAAAAAAGACAACUCUGUUCCGCAGAGUAGCUGUUGACAUUAGAGUUGCGCAGGAACUUUGUUGACUCUAGAGAACCUCGGGCAAAUCACACAUCCCCAUGGCGGCGACUUUGCAUGCGGAUGUUAUCCAUAUCAACUUUCGAUGCCAGUUUCUGCGUCUACCAUGGUGAUCACUGGUAACGUGGAAUCAGGGUUUCAUUCCGUACAGGACCCUGAGAAAUGGCUACCACAUGCAAGGAAGGCAGCAGGUGCGCAAAUGACCCACUCACGACGUGGGAAGGUAGUGACG